rnacentral:rRNA from 1 species
GAUGAACGCUGGCGGCGUGCUUAACACAUGCAAGUCGAACGAUGAAGCCCAGCUUGCUGGGUGGAUUAGUGGCGAACGGGUGAGUAACACGUGAGUAACCUGCCCUUGACUCUGGGAUAAGCGCUGGAAACGGCGUCUAAUACCGGAUACGAGCUUCCACCGCAUGGUGAGUUGCUGGAAAGAAUUUCGGUCAAGGAUGGACUCGCGGCCUAUCAGGUAGUUGGUGAGGUAACGGCUCACCAAGCCGACGACGGGUAGCCGGCCUGAGAGGGUGACCGGCCACACUGGGACUGAGACACGGCCCAGACUCCUACGGGAGGCAGCAGUGGGGAAUAUUGCACAAUGGGCGCGAGCCUGAUGCAGCAACGCCGCGUGAGGGACGAAGGCCUUCGGGUCGUAAACCUCUUUUAGCAGGGAAGAAGCGAAAGUGACGGUACCUGCAGAAAAAGCACCGGCUAACUACGUG